rnacentral:rRNA from 1 species
GGGUGGCGAGGCUACCAUGCAGUCGAGCGGUAGAGAGGUGCUUGCACCUCUUGAGAGCGGCGGACGGGUGAGUAAUGCCUAGGAAUCUGCCUGGUAGUGGGGGAUAACGCUCGGAAACGGACGCUAAUACCGCAUACGUCCUACGGGAGAAAGCAGGGGACCUUCGGGCCUUGCGCUAUCAGAUGAGCCUAGGUCGGAUUAGCUAGUUGGUGAGGUAAUGGCUCACCAAGGCGACGAUCCGUAACUGGUCUGAGAGGAUGAUCAGUCACACUGGAACUGAGACACGGUCCAGACUCCUACGGGAGGCAGCAGUGGGGAAUAUUGGACAAUGGGCGAAAGCCUGAUCCAGCCAUGCCGCGUGUGUGAAGAAGGUCUUCGGAUUGUAAAGCACUUUAAGUUGGGAGGAAGGGCAUUAACCUAAUACGUUAGUGUUU